rnacentral:rRNA from 1 species
UCGGCACGCGUGAAGGAAGAAGACCCUCGGGUUGUAAACUUCUUUUGAUCGGGAACAAGCCGCAAGGCUGAGUGUACCGAUAGAAUAAGGGGCUGCUAACUUCGUGCCAGCAGCAGCGGUAAUACGAAGGCCCCGAGCGUUAUCCGGAUUUAUUGGGCGUAAAGCGUUGGUAGGAGGUCAUGUUAGUUCAGCGUCAAAGCUUCCCGCUUAACGGGAAAAACGCGCUGAAUACGGCUGACUGGAGGAAAUCAGAGGCAAAUGGAACGGCCGGUGUAGGGGUGAAAUCCGUUGAUAUCGGCCGGAACACCAAAGGCGAAGGCAUUUUGCUGGGAUUUUUCUGACUCUGAGCAACGAAAGCGUGGGUCGCGAAUGGGAUUAGAUACCCCAGUAGUCCACGCCCUAAACGAUGAGUGCUCGCUGUGUGAAGUAUCGAGCCUUCACGUGGCUUAGCUAACGCGUUAAGCACUCCGCCUGGGAAGUACGAGCGCAAGCUUAAAACUCAAAGGAAUAGACGGGGACUCGCACAAGCGGUGGAGCAUGUGGUUCAAUUCGACAAUAAACGAAAAACCUUACCAGGG